rfam:Triticum aestivum genome assembly, contig: Triticum_aestivum_CS42_TGACv1_scaffold_514108_6BS
CUUGUACUUCCUCCGUCCGGAAAUACUUGUCGUGGAAAUGGAUACAAAUGGACGUAUCUAAAACUAAAAUACAUCUAGAAAUAUCUAUUUCUCGGACAAGUAUUUCCGGACGGAGGGAGUAUUUC